GAUGAACGCUGGCGGCGUGCCUAAUACAUGCAAGUCGAGCGAAUGGAUUAAGAGCUUGCUCUUAUGAAGUUAGCGGCGGACGGGUGAGUAACACGUGGGUAACCUGCCCAUAAGACUGGGAUAAAUCCGGGAAACCGGGGCUAAUACCGGAUAAAAUUUUGAACCGCAUGGUUCGAAAUUGAAAGGCGGCUUGGGCUGUCACUUAUGGAUGGAUCCGCGUCGCAUUAGCUAGUUGGGGAGGUAACGGCCCACCAAGGCAACGAUGCGUAGCCGACCUGAGAGGGUGAUCGGCCACACUGGGACUGAGACACGGCCCAGACUCCUACGGGAGGCAGCAGUAGGGAAUCUUCCGCAAUGGACGAAAGUCUGACGGAGCAACGCCGCGUGAGUGAUGAAGGCUUUCGGGUCGUAAAACUCUGUUGUUAGGGAAGAACAAGUGCUAGUUGAAUAAGCUGGCACCUUGACGGUACCUAACCAGAAAGCCACGGCUAACUACGUGCCAGCCGCCGCCGUAA
rnacentral:rRNA from 1 species